CCUGUAAGACAGGCAGGUGAAGAGGGACAAUCACUGGCCCAGGCCCAGCUGCACGGCCGGGAAAGGGGGCCCAGGCCCUGGUGUCCACCUGCUUCCCAAAGGCCAAGAAGCCCAAAGGGCAUGCAGCUUCUAGUUCUUCCAGGAUUCAGCCACUUUUCCAAAAUCUGAGGUAUCCCCAUAUUUCCAGAUGCUCCCCUUCUACCCAAAACACCAAGCCCCUGAGGACAUUCCUGGCCCACAGCAGGGGGAGGGUAUUUUGUAUGAGACACUGAGAAACCCUAACUGGGGUUGGUGUGCUGGGGGGAAUGUGGGGUGGGCAGAGCAGCCAUGUAGAAGACCAACUCAGGAGCUCACAGCGUCCACUAAGCCUGCGGUUAGAAGUCCUUUGAGAGCCAGCCCCAGAGGCAGCCAUGCAUGGCCCGGAAAGUCCCUUGAAUAGUAGUCACGGAAAGCCUGGCCGAAGGACAAGCUCAGGAAGGCAGGGGGAGCCAGAGGAAAAGGUGACCUCCAGGGUGCAAGAGGGUGCAUGGUCACUGGCGAGUGGCAUGGGAGCCGAGUCCUCUGCUGCAGGGGCCGCAGGGAAGGGGCUUGGAAGGAGGGUGGUGUGGAGAGGUGACCUGGAGAGGGCCUGGCAGUGCUCACCUCGUCCAGCACGGCAUUGCGCUUGGCCCGCUGCCGCUGCCGGAGCAGCACCAGGCCAGCAAUGAUGUCGGACGGCACAAUGUCAAGGUCCCGGAAGAACUCCGCAAAGAGGUCACCCUGACUCUGCAUUAUUUCUUCUCCUAAACUACAGUGUAAGUUCCAAGGGAGUCGAUGCAGUCUUCACAGCUUUCUGUUCCCUUGACAAAGCAAGUGGACGCGGUCUUGAACGCUGGAGCAAGUGGCUCAGUGAAUAACAGGCCCUGUGUGAGCAGGCUGUACUUGCUGCUGGAAACCCAGCUCCUUCCCACCAGCCCUGCCCCAUCCUGCUUUGCCAAAGGAGCAAACAGCCCCUUAAUCACCUGACCACAGGAUGUGAGCCAGAGGGGAGCGACCUCCCAGUACUUACUGACUGGGAGUCCUUCGUCCGCGUGCAGCAGAGGAACACUUUGAGCCGGCGCGACCAGCUGGUGGCUUGACCCUCCUCUAAGCGGUGCCUGCAAAGCAGGAGAGGCGGUAUGUGUGAGGUCAGAGGGCUGAACCAGAAAAGCUGGGACCCAGACAUUCUGGAAACAGGGCAGCCUGUUCCCAGGACCUUACCAAAGGGUUCCCACGGGGGUUCUUAGGGGUAACAGGGCCCAGGCCCUGUCAGAGCUGGUGGCCAGUGGCCUGGCUGCUGGCCAGCAGCGGCACUGCCUGACGGACUCCUGCUAGCCUAAGAUGGUGUGUGCUGUUGGCCAAAGGUGGGUGGUUGGAAGAGGGAGGUGGGGAGUGCUGGAGAGACCUGGCUUUUGGAAGACCGAACACAGGCAGGCUCUGGGGCUUCAGAGCUGGGAGCCCAAAGUGGGGGCUACCCUGCAGCUCAGGUGUCCAAAGACUCAAACCCUGGGAGAGGUCAGCAGGGUACUGGGCCUCUCUGUCGUCUCGUUCUAAGGCCUGGAACAGACCUUCCAGAAAGACCUGCUUUUCCCCAGAAAGGAUUUCAGACACUUACAUACUUACAUACUCUACUUACAGGAAAUUUAUGGGGCUGAAUGAGGCUCUGCAUUUCCCAAUUCCUUGGAUCUGAUACCUAGGCAGAGGGCUCCAUCCCUCACCCACAUGGUUGCCCUUGUCUAUUCUCACCCCCCAGCCCCACCCCCAGUGGGUCUGGCUGCUCGGAUGGAGAUUCAGGGUCUCCAGGAGUCUGUACCCAAAGGCAGAGCAAUGCGCCAGUUAUUCACAGAGGUUCCUCCUAGGCUGGAUGUCUGCAGUCGGUGUGUUUUGAGCAUAAAGAUAACAGAUCCAACAUUAAAAGUGCAGACCUCCGAACCGAGCAAGAAGGGGCUGGCUUGCUUUUGUGCCAUGUGCUGGCCCCUUAAAAGCCUGACGCUGGGUGGUCAGGAGAGGAAGGCAAGGGUGGCCCUCAGAUGCAUUCAAGGCACUUAACAUCCAUCUGGAGUGACAGGCCAGGCCCUUUCUGAGCCUCUGGGCUCCUCCGUCUGUCUAAGGACCGCUUCCUGCUCUCCAACCUUGGCUCCAUAAGGCAGAUGGCCACGAGGAGGGCAACAGGGUCUUCCAGGGCUAAAGAAGGUGGGUAGGGAAGGGUGCAGGGAAUUGCUGCUCUGGGGACCUGCUGGCUCUUAGGGACUUGGACAGCUGUAUAUCCAAAACCAAUGUCCCACCUUCCAGGGCUUGAUGAAGGGACAGUGUGCUGGCCAAGCAGGAUUCCCCAGAGCACUGUGGGAUGGGUGGUGGUGGCCAGCUGGGCUGGGAGGGAAAAUGGGCUAUGGGGCCUUGGCUCCUAGACCUGACAUUUUGGGCUGGGACGUGGCCAGAGCAGGCACGGGUGUGGCUCUGGCUGCAGUGCUGAGCUGACGUGGAAGGUCUACGGGGAGCCGAACACAGCAGCGCAGGAGGGUGGGAUGGGGAGAACUCCUGCCGGGCGGGGGGGUCCAGGCAGCCUGCUCCCCAGGUGAGGGCGCUUGAGCCAGCUGCUCUGGGCUGCAGGUGUGGUGCCAGUUCUGCACCUCAGCAGCUCGACCCGGGGCAGGCGACCUGCCCUCUCUGGGACACGGAUUCCUCAUCUGUGGAAUGGAUCUCACAACCAUGCCGGGGUUCACAAAGGGAUUAAAUGGAUGAAUUGUGUGAAGGGCUCGGCAUGGGGAGCUCCUUACAUAAUGCACUGUAGAAGCCCCAUUAACAGGAGGUACUGGGACCCACCCUGGAAGCCCCUGUCUUUUUCUUUCAACAAACAGAAAUUAUUGUGACACUGC